rnacentral:rRNA from 1 species
UACAGAGGUGGCAAGCGUUGUCCGGAUUUACUGGGCGUAAAGGGCUCGUAGGCGGCCAACUAAGUCAGACGUGAAAUCCCUCGGCUUAACCGGGGAACUGCGUCUGAUACUGGAUGGCUAGAGAUUGGGAGAGGGAUGCGGAAUUCCAGGUGUAGCGGUGAAAUGCGUAGAUAUCUGGAGGAACACCGGUGGCGAAGGCGGCUUCCUGGACCGACACUGACGCUGAGGCGCGAAAGCUAGGGGAGCAAACGGG